AAUGCAUAAAUUAUUUAAUUUGGCAUAGAAAGAUUUAAUGUAUUGAUUUUAUAUUUUAUUUAGUGUUCUUUUUUGUUUUACUUGUUAAUCAAACAUUCUUACAUAUACUUAUUUAUAAAAUAAUUUAAUGAUAAAGACGUGUGUUAUUUUAUAGAGCAAUGAUAAUUUUGUCAACAACUUGUAAAAUGGUUUAUUUCCAGAUGAACAUGCGCACUGCAGCACAUUACAGCAUCCGCCAGAUGCUCCAGUACACUUCCGCUUCCGCUUACCUGUGAUGGCCUGCUUGCGUCUUUGAAAUAAGCCCUUUAUAUCUACAUGGGAGUGGGUCCCCCUCCACAUGGCCGCCAUGUUGCAUCGCCAUGUUUCUACAGUAGCGCAGAACAGACAAACCUAACACUGGCUCCAGUGAGGACCUUACGCAUUUUAGAUUCAGUGGGCGACUACCGGAAAUGCACCAGUUUUAAAACGAAGAAGAAGAAUGGACCAAACAUUUUGUAUUGUGAGAAGUUUUUGAAACCAAAAUCUGAUAAAUGGAGGAUCAUACUUAUUUAGAAAAUCACAGGAGCGUGAAUUGUCAUCGUCAAAGAAACGAAAACACGAAGAAGCUAAACGAAAUCGGGACAAGCAACAGCAUAAAACGAGGAUAAACCCAGAUGGAAAUCCCUGGUGAGAGAAAUGUUUGCAGACUGAUGCCGAAGUUUCCUGUUUACUGCUGGACAGGCACUAUGGGUUGGCAUUAUUCACCAUGUCUUUGACAUUCACACCCGCCAUAUCAGAAGUAUUGCAGACCAAGUCAGGAGAGGUCUUGAAGCAGUUUUCCAUGCAGCUGCUGCUCUACACACGGCUUCUGGAGCAGAUGAGUGACAGUAGUGACAGUGAAUCAUGGGUGUUGUUCCUGCCAUGAGAGCAUCUUCAUCCAGAGCAGUAAAUUGAAUACCUUUGGUGUGGUAUUGGUCUCACCCUUGUCAGCUAUUAAAUGUGCCGCAAUUUGACUGCUGGAAGGUGAUCGGAUAAGUUUAAUCACACUGCUUUUAGUGUUCAAACAGACUAAUGGUUUGAUAGAUUAUUCUGUCUUUAUCAGAAUCAACUCUGAAGAACACUGAAUAAGCUGUCAAAAUGUUUGUUUGAACAGUAAAAGCUGCAUGUUUAUGUUAUUCUUUUAUUGCCCAGAUUGAAA